GACGAACGCUGGCGGCGUGCUUAACACAUGCAAGUCGAACGGACAGGCCCUGCUUUUGUGGGGUGCUCGAGUGGCGAACGGGUGAGUACCACGUGAGUAACCUGCCCUUGACUUUGGGAUCACUUCAUGAAACUGGGGCUAAUACCGGAUAGGAGCUCCUGCUGCAUGGUGGGGGUUGGAAAGUUUCGGCGGUUGGGGAUGGACUCGCGGCUUAUCCGCUUGUUGGUGGGGUAGUGGCUUACCAAGGCUUUGCCGGGUAGCGGGCCUGAGAGGGGGACCGGACACGCUGGAAUUGAGAUGAGGCACGGACCCGAAUGGGAGGGAGCGGUGGGGUGGGGAGUAUUAGAGGAGGAGGGCAGAUGCAGUCCAGCCGUGUGGGGGAAGAGGGGACGGGGGUAGGAUUGUGAUGUUGUUUGUUACGAAACGUGAGUGACGGUAACGGGUAAAGAAGCACCGGCUAACUACGUG
rnacentral:rRNA from 1 species